GAUGCCGUUUUAAUUCACAUAUCAGCUCCUUUGCUCGCUCCCUGCGACCUAAUAUUUGAAGUCUAUGAACUGAAGUUCCACUAGUCUAGUAGAGAGCUUAGGAUAGAGACUCAAUCGCAAGAGGCUGUCCAACUUGAACUAUUCUCAUAUAGAAAGAAAGAAAGAAAGAAAGAAAGGUUGGUUCCAAAAGCUGAGUUCCGGGAUUACCAAGAAACAAUUUAGAAUAGAUUCAAAAGAAAUGGCUAGUCAACAGGAAAGAGAAAAGGAUGUGCAAAGCACAAAUCCCCAUGGUUUUAGAGAAAUGGUAGAAGAGCAGUAUAAAAAAAUCAAAGAGAAUGCAGAAACUUAUCCAUAUGUAUGGGCAUCAUAUAUAGUAGUAUAUGGUGGCUUUGCCUUGUGGACUACCUACAGGUGGAGAAAACUUAGAAAGACCGAGGACAGAGUACGAGCUCUUCAAGAAAGACUGCGCAAUCUUGUUGAUUCUCAAGACUCUGCAAUUUCAACUUCAACAACUCUUGAAAAGGCUCCCCCUUCCAUUGAUAAGUCCUCCCCCAAAUAGCUUUUCUGCUUUAAAAUGUUUGUUCUAAGAAAUUUCACCUCAAGUUCAGAAUAUGAAUCUUCUCUUCCAAAUAUCUUAUCUACUUCAACCUUUUCCUUUCAGAUACAAGGAAAGUGUUUAUGCUCUUAUCAAAUUUACAGCUUUUGGAUCUUCAUUUUAUAUUUUACAGAAUUUAUUAUCUCUCAAAUUUAGCACUAGAGCCAAAUUUGAUUAAAGACAUUAGUGAAUUCUUCAA